GGAAUCAUCGUAUCGCUGAUCUAUGUAAACAAAUUGAAGAAUUGUCUGAAAGAAAAUAUGAGAUGAACUUAUGAAUUCAACAGGUGAAGAUUUACAACUUGAUAAAUCAGCUUUGUGAGCUCGAGCUGUAAAAGCCAAAGGUCCGGUGAUGAUCCCAUACCCUUUUUUCCAGUCUCAUGUUGAAGAUUUUUAUGUAGAAGGCCUUCCCAAAGGAAUUUUUUUUUUUUUUUUUUUUUUGAGAUAGAGUUUUCACUCUUAUCGCCCAGGCUGGGGUGCAAUGGCACAACCUUGCUGGUCACUGCAACCUCUGCCUCCUGGGUUCAAGAAAUUCUCCUGCCUUAGCCUCCCAAGUCGCUGGGAUUACAGGUGCCCACCACCACACCAGGCUAAUUUUUGUAUUUUUAGUGGAGAUGGGGUUUCACCAUGUUGGCCGGGCCAGUCUCGAACUCCUGACGUCAAGUGAUCUUCCUGCCUCGACUCCUGACAUCAAGUGAUCUUCCCGCCUCGGCCUCCCAGAGUGCUGAGAUUAUAGACGUGAACCCAUGCCUGGCCAGGAAUUUUGUUUUUUAGGAAGGCUUUCUACUAAUGGAAUUCCUGGCCUUGAGAGGAUGUUACUUUCGAAGGAAAGGAUUUUUUUGUUAUUAAAAGAGCCACCUAAGCUGAAGAUUCCCUUGAGGACAAGUACUGUCCUGCGGUUUCAUGGCCUUUCUUCCAUUUGUGGUUCUUGCGAAGUGGAAUUUAAAUGACAUCUUAUCAAGAUGGAUAAACCCUAGUUUCCCAGUGCUGGAAUAUAGAAAAUGGAUGGACAAGUAAAUCCCACUCAGCACCCAUAGUCCAGGCAUGGGGACCUCAACACACCUGAGCCCCAGACAUCACCUUUCAUUCUGGACCUAUCAUGAAAGACUUCUGAAUCCAGGAAGAGAAACUGACUGGGCAACAUGUUAUUCAGAUGGGGUCUUCUUAUGUUGUCCAGGCUGGUCUCAAAUUCCUAGGCUCAAGUGAUUCCGCCCACCUCUGCCUCCCAAAGUGCUGGGAUUAUGGGCAUGAGCCAGCGCAUCUGGCCACCUUAUUUUCUAUUACUGGCUCAAUGUAAUGGCUCCAUCUCAGGAACAGCCAAUGAAAGAGAUGCACAGGACAAGAAACAGGACCUUGCCCUGUCACUCAGGAUGGAGUUCAGUGGUCCUAUCAUGGCUCAUUAUAGCCUCAAACUCCCAGGCUCAAGCAAUCCUACCAUGUCAGCCUUCCCAGUAGCUGGGACUACAGGAAGUGACCUCACAAUGACUCAAGCUACCACAUACUGUUGAUUGUGAAAUGCCAGUUGAAGCAUAUGUCCUGCGAGCUUAGGGGUGCUACAAGUUGACCACUGCAGCAGUAAAGAUGACUCUGAAGAAUGGCGUGGGAUGGAUCCUUUCGAAUGCACUUGAGCAGCGGUCUCCAACCACAGGGCCACAGAGCUGGAGCUGGAUCUACCAUGAAAGACUUCUGAAUCCAGGAAGAGAGACUGACUGGGCAACAUGUUAUUCAGGGUCUCCCUCUGUUGUCCAAGGCUGGAGGGUAGUAGUGCUAUCGCAGCUGACUGCAGCCUCAACCUUCCAGGCUGAAGCGAUCCUCCCAUCUCAACCUCCCACGUAGCUGAGACUACAUGUGCUUGCCACUAUGCCCAACUAAUAUUUGGAAUUUUCAUAUACGUGGAUUCCAGAGGGGUGACAGCGAAACGUGAGUAAGCAUGGAUUUUGGUAUAUGCAGAGAUGGGGGGCUGGAACUAAUUCUGUAUACUGAGGGAUGGCGACUGUAUAUGUUUUUACAAUUACGCUGUAGGAUACAUACUGUUGCAUAGCCUUGAAAAUAAUAAUUUUUAAUUGAGUGGAAUAAUAAUAAUAAUAUUGCUAAAAGUAGCAGCUGGCCAGGUGUGGUGGCUCACACUGGUAAUCGCAACACUUUGGGAGGCUGAGGCAGGAGGAUGGCUUGAGGCCAAGAGUUUGCGAUAGGCCUUGGAAACAAAGGGGGAGUCACCAUCCCUACCAAAAAAUACAUGAAUUAGCCUAGUGUGGUGGCACGUUCCUGUAGUCCCAGCUACUUGGGAGGCUGAGGUGGGAGGAUCACUUGAGCCCAGGGAGGCUGAGACUGCAGUGAGUCACAAUCAGGCCUCUGCACUCCAGCCUGGGUGACAGAGUGAGACCCUGUCUCAAAACAACAAAAAAGUAGCAGCUAACAUCAACUGACCUUUUAUACCAGGUGCCUAUUGAUACCAUGGUUUAAUUUCUUAGAACUGUUUCUUAUUUCACUUACCAACUCUGUCUUCAGUUACUCCCAGAUUUUUACUGUGUGUGUGCAGAUGACCUUUUGUUUAGAUUGAAUUGUCUCCCCAGAAGUAAGAUUACUGUGAGUCAUGGUGAAUGGACAUUCUCAUUACCCUUGAUGUAAAUUGACAGGGUUUUGGGUGCCUCCCAGCUAUAAUCUUAGCACUUUGGGAGGCUAAGAGAGGAGGAUUGCUUGAGGCCAAGAGUUGGAGGAGGCAGUAUGGCAGUAUGGUGAGACCCUGUCUCCAUUAUUUUAAAAAAUUGACAAGCUUUACCCGGGAAGGCUUAUACACAAUUUAAACACCCCUCAUAGUAUAAGAAAGUGCCCAUUUCACUGCACCUUUGCCAGCACAGGGUAUUAUAAUUUCGUAAGUCAUUUUUUGUUUGAUUACUUUAAAUAGACAAAAGACCUCAUGUUACUUUACUUGUCACAUUUCAACAUCUUUCCUCAGCUUAUUGGCUCUAUUUCUUUUCUGUCUGUAAAUGGUUGUUGCUAUUUUGUUCUUUGAGACAGGGUCUUGCUCUGUCACCAGGCUGGACUGUAGUGGCAUAAUCAUGCCUCACUGCAGCCUUGACCUCCCAGGCUCAAACUUCAGCAUUCCGAGUAGCUGGGACUACAAGUGUGCACCACCACCCCCAGCUAACUUUUUUCUUCUUUUGGAUAGAGACAGGGUCUCACUGUGUUGUCCAGACCGGUCUCUAGCUCCUGGCCUUAAGCAAUCCUCCUGCAUUAGCUUCUCAAAUUGCUGGAAUUUCAGGCAUGAGCCACCAUGCCUGGCCUGGGCUAGUCCUAUAUUCUCUAGCGUUCUCUUUACUUUGUGCUAGCCAAUCUCUCAUUAUGCUGUUCACCUGUUAUAAUGAAUAAUUCUCUGUAUUAAAUUUUACCACUUUAAACUUUUGAGUGGUUUAUGCUUCCUGAUUGGACUCUGACUAAUAUGUUAGGAAGGGUCCCAGGAGGUAAACCCACACAGAUGGGAUUUGGGCAUAGGUUUGGUUUCCCAGGGGGCAGUGCUGAGCUCUUUGCCAGUGGGAAAUGGGAUGCUGGUGAUUUCCAGUAGGUGACCUCACAGUGACUC